UCCCUGUAAUUUGUCCGGCUACGAAACAUUUAGUCACUCUCGCCUCUGUUCAUUCUUCUGUUUUUAUGUCCUUACUCACUAUCAGGUACAUUAAGCGCCGUUCCUGCAUCCUUGGAUUGCUCGGAUGAGAUUGUUGUGCCUGCUCUGGAAGCUUGUAAACAGGAAAUGACUGCGAAUUCUUUAUUGAAACCUCUGUGGCUCCCAGAGGACGCACCCGCCCCACUCGAUUCAAACAACGCUACCCAUCAUCGUGCUUUUUGCUGCGCUACUCAGGUGGGCUCCAGCUGCAUUAGAAGACACCUAGGAGCAAGGUGCCCUGUCCUUGUCGCAGAGGUGGAACGCACGGCGAACGAAGAUCUCAAGCGUAUCUUCCCAGACCAGACUUGCGAUCUCACCCCGUGCUAAGUGCUGAUAAGCGCAUAUCCUGCGUGGUAAAGCCAGACAUAUAUACAAGGGGGAUAUAUUCGAGGCAGGAAGAAUAAACAACUUGAAAACCAA